UGCCUAGAACAUAGCGUUAAUGCACCAUAUCCCAUUAGAACUCUACAGUUAAGUGUGCUCGAGCUAGAGUAGUAUUGGGAUGGGUGACCUCUCAGGAAGUACUAGUAUUUUACAUGC
rnacentral:rRNA from 1 species